rnacentral:rRNA from 1 species
UACAGGGGGGGCAAGCGUUGUUCGGAAUUACUGGGCGUAAAGGGCUCGUAGGCGGCCAACUAAGUCACACGUGAAAUCCCCAGGCUUAACCUGGGAACUGCGUGUGAUACUGGAUGGCUUGAAUUCGGGAGAGGGAUGCAGAAUUCCAGGUGUAGCGGUGAAAUGCGUAGAUAUCUGGAGGAACACCGGUGGCGAAGGCGGCAUCCUGGACCGGUAUUGACGCUGAUGCGCGAAAGCCAGGGGAGCAAACGGG